rnacentral:rRNA from 1 species
AGUGAACGCUGGCGGUAGGCCUAACACAUGCAAGCCGAACGGCAGCACAGUAAGAGCUUGCUCUUACGGGUGGCGAGUGGCGGACGGGUGAGGAAUACAUCGGAAUCUACUUUUUCGUGGGGGAUAACGUAGGGACACUUACGCUAAUACCGCAUACGACCUACGGGUGAAAGCAGGGGAUCUUCGGCCCUUGCGCGAGUGAAUGAGCCGAUGUCGGAUUAGCUAGUUGGCGGGGUAAAGGCCCACCAAGGCGACGAUCCGUAGCUGGUCUGAGAGGAUGAUCAGCCACACUGGAACUGAGACACGGUCCAGACUCCUACGGGAGGCAGCAGUGGGGAAUAUUGGACAAUGGGCGCAAGCCUGAUCCAGCCAUACCGCGUGGGUGAAGAAGGCCUUCGGGUUGUAAAGCCCUUUUGUUGGGAAAGAAAAGCAGCAGGUUAAUACCCCGCUGUUCUGACGGUACCCAAAGAAUAAGCACCGGCUAACUUCGUG